CUUCCCAGUUUUAGAACUGAAAGUCAGGCUUCCCAGGAAAGCCCUCAAUUCUGGGCAAACUAGUUGCUGGCCAGCACCACCAGGAGCUCAGGGAGAGAAGAGAGGACAGCCAGGUGCCCUCCCCACCACCCGCCUGGCCCCAUGCCACCUCUGCCCACACCAGGCGGGGCCAUGGAGAGGAAGGCAAAUAGCAACUAGUGCCCAGUGUGCGGCCUGGCCCCACCUCCUGCCAGUGCCUGGGCAACACCUUCUGCUAGGGGGUGGUGUCUGGGACAGUGCCUGGUGCUGUCAGCUGGAGCUGGCAGGCCCACAUUGGAAGCAUCUUCUAAGUAGGAAGGGGAGACAAGGGCUUGAAGCUGGGGGAGAUGGGGAAAGCCUCCCGCCCCAUCCACGCCAUUCCUGCCUUCCCCUCGUCCUGGGUAUUUUGGAGCCUGCCAGCUGAGGAGUGCUCUCCCAGGGUUGGGACUGCAGGCGCCUGACAAACUGAAGAGCACUGAAGCUGGAGAUGCAAAGAAGAGGGAGCAUUGACUAUGUUCUUGGAGCAACGAGCAAGUCAGUGAGGCACGCGUGUGACAGGUGCCUUUCCUGAACCCAGCAAUCCUCCUCCCCUUUCCCUGGCUCUCCUGGGAACUCCUAAUGAAGUCAGAAUAAGCCACUCCAUCAAUUUAUGAUCCCCAGAUGACUGUGUCCCUUUGCUCCUUAAUCACUCAGGUACCCAGAUUCUCUAUUAGCAAGAAGCCCAGAACCCCCUUCUCGAGUCCUCUCUCGUUUUCAAUCUUCCAAGGACACCGAAGUCUUCCUUAACCCACUGCUGGGGGUUGACUGCCGAAGGUCACUGAUGCCGGGGCAUCUUGCCACCACAUGGGGGCACUGCCAAAGAUGUGUGCAGAAUAGUCCUGCAGACACUGCGCUCGGCAGCGGAGCUCAUGCUAGGCGAACCCUUGCCUGGGUGUUGGAGGUCACCCACACUUGAGACUUGAGUUUACAGCUCUCAUGGGUCACUCUUAAAUACUCAGAGCAGAAUGCCAAGUGACUCCUCAUCCAUGCUCCAUGCACCCUGGAUCCCAGAACGGGGCACAUCACUUUCCUCCACCACUGUCGCCCUGCUCGCCACCACCUCCUCCCGCUAGGCCGGGCUUUCUCAACCGCCACCCCUUUGACAUUUGGGGCCAGAUCUUUCUCCGCUGUGGGGACAUGGCAGGAUGCUUGGCAGCACCCCUGGCCUCUGCCUAUCAGGUGCCUGUAGCACACCACCACUAUGACAAGAAAAAAUGUCUCUAGACAUUGCCCAACAUCCCCUGAGGAGCAGAAUGGCCCCAGUGGAGAGCCAGUGCCCUAGACUAUUGGGGUACCACCCCUCCACGCUGGCCUGGACCCCCUCUACACUGGCCUAGACCCUCUCAACACUGGCCUGAACCCCCUUCAUGCUGGCCUGGACCCCCUCCAACUGGCCUGGACUCCCUCCCCUGGCCCCUUGCCUCCCUUUCUUGACAUCACAGUAGGGGUGAGCUUUAAAAAAACCACACAGCUCGUGAUGCAUGUCACGCUAGGUUCAAAAGCGCUGGGUGGUUUCUCUUGGUAUUUGAGAUCCACACCUCUGCCUUAGUGCCCGGGCCCUGCAGGGCCUGACCUCACCCCUGUCUCCAGCUUGACUGGCUCCCACACCAGGCACAAGAGCCCUGGCUGUGACAUCAGCACGCUCUGUCCUCUCUGCCUUAAGCCCUGUUCAGUCUGUCGCUGCAUUCCAGGCCCUUCCACACCCCAGGGGCCUGCAGAGGCCCUGGGACCCCGCCCCUGGUGUUGCCCACUCUACUACGCCUCUUGGUCCAUCUGCCUGAUUUAUGCCUUCAUUACCUUUCCUUAGUUAUAUCCGGUUUCUGUUUUAUUAGUUUAUUUUUAUUGUAUUUACUUCUGUCAUUCCCAUUAGACUGUCAGCUCCGUGAAGGCAGGGGCCUGUCUUGUUCCCUGCCGUAUCCCCAGAGUCUAGAACGGCACCUGGGUUGUGGGAGGCACCCAGAAAACACCAGGUCCCUGAAGGAAUGAAUGAAAUGGGAGUGGGCUUCUCUUGUCCUGGAAAUGGGCCUUGUCCCCCACAUGGCUGUGGAGCUGCAGAGGGGGAGGCUGGAACUACUGUCCUAUGGGCCCCUGUGGGCUCAAGAAUCCUGCACUCAGCCUAGGACCUGCAGGCUUCGUGUCUCUGGCUCUUGGGAAACAGGUGGAAACUUCCUUCCCGAGAGCCGGAAGCAGCCGCAGGCCCCGCCACACCCAGCCCUGGCCCAGCUCAAGGCGAGGCCCUGGGUCUAAAUAUAGAAAGUGGGUUGUGAGAGGGCGGGUUUCUUCUCUGGUGAGAGGAAGUGGCUGCUCUGAUUAAAACCGGGGUUUGUUCACCCCUCAUUGAGACAGUCCUCCCCACCAGCCAGGAAGAAAGGAAAUGUGGCAAAAUGAACCCAGCCAAUGGGGCCUUCCAAAAAGGCCCGGAGAAAGCACCCGGGGGGCAGAUGGUCUCUUGUUCCUCCCUGGGGAAUGGCUGGGAACCCUGCAGUGAGACACAGGGGCUGCGUGUCCCUGAGCCAACUCUAGCCGCUCUGGGUCUCAGUUUGAAAAAAAAGGGAUUGGCCAGAUUUGAUUUUCAAAGCUGAUGUUACCUGGUAUUGCCUGAAUCAGGAGCUCUCUGAGUCUCAGUUUCCCUAUCUGCAGAAUGGGUUGAUGAUGACCAUGCCUGUAACAGAACGGCUAGUAGGAUUCAAGGAGGCAGUGUGUGUGGCUGGCCUAGGGCAGAGCUGGCACAUGACCAGGGCUCCGAAGGUGCUCGCUGUUGUCAGAUGUCCACAUGAAGUUUGACAAAAUGAACGCAGAGCCCCUUGUUGAAACAUUACCAGGAAUUUCAAGAUGGGCUGGGCGCAGUGGCUCAUGCCUAUAAUCCCAGCACUUUAGGAGGCCGAGGCAGGCGGAUCGCUUGAGGUCAGGAGUUCAAGACCAGCCUGACCAACAUGGUGAGACCCUGUCUCUACUAAAAAUACAAAAAUUAGCCAGGAAUGUGGUGCACGCCUGUAAUCCCAGCUACUCAGGAGGCUGAGACAGGAGAAUCACUUGAACCUGGGAGGCGGAGUUUGCAGUGAGUGGAGAUCAUGCCCAUGGGUGACAGAGUGAGAACUCUGUCUCAGAAAAAAAAAAAGAAAGAAGAAUUUCAAGAUGGUAACAGCAGAGCAGGAAACCCUGAGCAGGGCCCUUCCGAGCCCUGCGUGACUGUCCUGGCUUCUGAGCCCUGAGUGACUGUCCUGGCUUCUGAGCCCUGCGUGACUGUCCUGGAUCAUGCAUCCUGAUAGGAUGAUUUCUAUCAGAGGAGCCUCGGGGAGCCUACAGAGCAGUGCACAGCCCCCAAGCCCACCCCCAGCCCAGGCCCACGCUUCCCCCACCCCCGACCCGCUGCCCUGCUGCAGUUCCACGGAUGGCCCGUUUGAAGAAGGUGAUGAAAGUAGUAAAAAGGUGAUGAUGCCCAAAUGCCAGUCCUCGGGGGACGGGUGUGACAGGGCUGAGCCCUGGGGUGGGUGGGGGCUGCUCUUCCAAGAAUGGGCCUCACCUAUACCCCUCCUCCCUGGACCUCAACAUGUCAUCAGUGGAAAACACAAAAUCGAAGCACUGUGCACAGCGCAGAUCAUUCUCAUGUGAGCUGUUUCACUGGUGCACACAAAACUAUGGUCCUGCAAAUUGCUGUAAUCAUAAAUAGGCAGGUGAGGCCAGGCGCCGUGGCUUAUGCCUGUAAUCCCACUCAAGCCCUGAGCUUGACCCUGGCAAGCCAGGACCACCAUCUCCAGAAAGAAAGAAAAGGUGCAAAGAGAGUAAGUGCAGAGAGUUCCCAUACGCCCUUCACCCAGCUUCUUUCCUAUUAGCAUUUUACAAAACCAC
rnacentral:lncRNA from 10 species